UACGGAGGGGACUAGCGUUGUUCGGAAUUACUGGGCGUAAAGCGUGCGUAGGCGGAUCAGCAAGUUGGGGGUGAAAUCCCGGGGCUCAACCCCGGAACUGCCUCCAAAACUGUUGGUCUAGAGUUCGAGAGAGGUGAGUGGAAUUCCGAGUGUAGAGGUGAAAUUCGUAGAUAUUCGGAGGAACAUCAGUGGCGAAGGCGGCUCACUGGCUCGAUACUGACGCUGAGGUACGAAAGUGUGGGGAGCAAACAGG
rnacentral:sRNA from 1 species